AUGAACGCUGGCGGCGUGGAUAAGGCAUGCAAGUCGGACGAUUUCCUUUUUUGAAGAAGAUGCGAUUACAUCAAGUCAACUGAUAUUUUGGAGAUAGUGGCGAACGAGCUAGUAACACCUUGGUACGUACCCAAAAGUUUGGUAUAGCUCGCCGAAAGGCGGGGUAAUCCCAAAUAGUCCCUUCAUCUAUCGGAUGAUAGGGUAAAGUAGCAAUACGCUUUCGGAUCGGCCUAGGUCCGAUCAGUUAGUUGGUGAGGUAAUGGCUCACCAAGACAAUGACCGGUAGGGG
rnacentral:rRNA from 1 species